GACCGCUCCGGUGGCUUAGUGAUUAGAGCGUCCUCCUUGGAUGAGGGAAGUCGCAGGUUCGAGCCAGGGCCAAGUCA